rnacentral:ncRNA from 1 species
GUUACAUUAUAGUCCCUAUCUAUAACAUUGUAGCUAUCUGUACCAACAUGAUAUAUAGGGCUUGUUGGACAGUAACAAUGGCGGGUCUAUGAUAAAUAGACGGGCAUCUAUAAAAGCGCUGCACUAUUAGCAGAUUGCUAAACGAUGUC